rfam:Cricetulus griseus cell line CHO-K1, whole genome shotgun sequence.
GGAGGUGAUGGCAAUCUGGCUGCAGGAUCUGUCAUGCCAUUGAUUGUCAGGGUUGAUUGGCUGAUCUGGCUUGCAAGGUGGGCGUCCUCUUCCUUCCUCACUGCUCUCUGUGUGUCCCUGCCAAAGCUGUGCAUUUGGUUGGAUGAGGACGUAGGACCAGUCUUUUGUUGAGGGUACAGGAGUAGCUGUAAUCUCCCACUAGAACCUCCCAGUAAGCUUUCAAAGGCCCUGUGUCCAGUGACUUUCAGAGUUAAACUUCAACAUUUGUAUGGGGGCGGGUGUCAAGGUUAAACAGGGGCCAACUGUAGAAAUCCUGAAUUUGGUAGUAUCU